GCCAGCCACAACAAAUAAAUAAAGGGUAAAUUACUAUUUAGUCCUUGAGGUAUGUCAAAAUUAACACAUAUGUCCCUCAGUUUUUAAAAGUCAAAGUUUUCAUCCCGGGGUUUUGAAUCUAUCCAACUCAAAGGUCCUUCCAUCUAUGAUUCUGUUAGGUCAGAAUCACAAGGGGAGAGAGAGGCAACGAACAGAAGGUACCCAGCCCCAAUCAGGCCACUCCAGGAAUCCGACGAGCCAGGACCUGCUGCCAGAUGAACACCCAACCUCAGACAAUCCCAUCGCCAUUGGUCUUGCAGCGAACAACCAUCAG
rnacentral:misc_RNA from 1 species